rnacentral:lncRNA from 1 species
UUGGUGUUGCCCCUGGGUUUUAGUCCCUAAAGACACGGGGUUGGUCCUGCCUUUGGGUAUGAGUCCCAAAAGACACGGGAUAUGACUUGCCCUUGGAUGAUGUCCCAAAAUGGUCAUUAUUAUAUUGAUCGAGUGUCUUGUGGAGCAUUGAUAUCUGCUGUGUAGAUUGUUGGGAGUCAGCAAUUUAUCAGUUGUGAAAGGAUGGAUGGGGAAAAGCAAUGAUGAAACCAACAAACACA